rnacentral:rRNA from 1 species
UACGUAGGGUGCGGGCGUUGUCCGGAAUUAUUGGGCGGAAAGAGCUCGUAGGCGGUUUGUCACGUCUGCUGUGAAAUCCCGAGGCUCAACCUCGGGCCUGCAGUGGGUACGGGCAGACUGGAGUGCGGUAGGGGAGAAUGGAAUUCCUGGUGUAGCGGUGGAAUGCGCAGAUAUCAGGAGGAACACCGGUGGCGAAGGCGGGUCUCUGGGCCGAUACUGACGCUGAGGAGCGAAAGCGUGGGGAGCGAACAGG